AAAACUUUCAACAACGGAUCUCUUGGUUCUGGCAUCGAUGAAGAACGCAGCGAAAUGCGAUACGUAGUGUGAAUUGCAGAAUUCAGUGAAUCAUCGAAUCUUUGAACGCACAUUGCGCCCUUUGGUAUUCCAAAGGGCAUGCCUGUUCGAGCGUCA
rnacentral:rRNA from 1 species